rnacentral:rRNA from 1 species
CGGCCGCGUCGACUUCUGGCUCAGGACGAACGCUGGCGGCGUGCUUAACACAUGCAAGUCGAACGAUGAAGCCUAGCUUGCUAGGUGGAUUAGUGGCGAACGGGUGAGUAAUACGUGAGUAACCUACCUUUAACUCUGGGAUAAGCCUGGGAAACUGGGUCUAAUACCGGAUACGACCAAUCUCCGCAUGGGGUGUUGGUGGAAAGCGUUAUGUAGUGGUUAUAGAUGGGCUCACGGCCUAUCAGCUUGUUGGUGAGGUAAUGGCUCACCAAGGCGACGACGGGUAGCCGGCCUGAGAGGGUGACCGGCCACACUGGGACUGAGACACGGC